ACGGGGAGCAGCAGGCGCGAAACCUUUACACUGCACGAACGUGCGAUAAGGGGACUCCAAGUGCGAGGGCAUACAGUCCUCGCUUUUUCCUACCGUAAGGAGGUAGGCGAAUAAGAGCUGGGCAAGACCGGUGCCAGCCGCCGCGGUAAUACCGGCAGCUCGAGUGAUGGUCACUAUUAUUGGGCCUAAAGCGUCCGUAGCUGGCCGAACAGGUCCGUCGGGAAAUCCGCUCGCUCAACGAGCGGACGUCCGGCGGAAACCAGUCGGCUUGGGACCGGAGGACCCGAGGGGUACGUCCGGGGUAGGAGUGAAAUCCUGUAAUCCUGGACGGACCACCGGUGGCGAAAGCGCCUCGGGAGGACGGAUCCGACAGUGAGGGACGAAAGCUUGGGUCACGAACCGGAUUAGAUACCCGGGUAGUCCAAGCUGUAAACGAUGCUCGCUAGGUGUGGCACUGGCUACGAGCCAGUGCUGUGCCGUAGGGAAGCCGAGAAGCGAGCCGCCUGGGAAGUACGUCCGCAAGGAUGAAACUUAAAGGAAUUGGCGGGGGAGCAC
rnacentral:rRNA from 1 species